UACGUAGGGUGCAAGCGUUGUUCGGAUUUAUUGGGCUUAAAGGGUGCGUAGGCGGCCUUGUAAGUCAGUAGUGAAAUACCCCAGCUUAACUGGGGGGGUGCUAUUGAUACUGCAGGGCUUGAGUACAGAUGAGGUAGGCGGAAUUGACGGUGUAGCGGUGAAAUGCAUAGAUAUCGUCAAGAACACCGAUAGCGAAGGCAGCUUACUAAGUUGUAACUGACGCUGAGGCACGAAAGUGUGGGGAUCAAACAGG
rnacentral:rRNA from 1 species